CUCAAUUGCUUUUGAAAAUUCAGAUGCAUGCAGAUAUAAAACAACUGGAUUGAAAGACAAAAAUCCAAGCACUGCUACUUGGCCAAAUCAUUGUGUGCUAAAGGGAGCCUGGGUCUCCAGACAAGGGUCUCCAAGCUGGAUUCUAAAACAACUUUUUUGUCUGGAUCUGAUAUCAUUAUCUCCAUCAAAACAAGACCCAGAACAAGACUGAGGCCUCCCUUCAGUUGAGGGCUGCACUAUUUGAAUAGCAUUUGGAGGUUUUGGCUGCAAUGAAAGAAGCAUGGAUGUCUUUGAUUGGGGUGUAUUUCUUAAAUCUCUUAAACAAUUCUCCAUUUCCCUAAAGAAGACUUCCCUAUUGGAGUUUUCACUGUGCCAAUAAAAUAAGGGCUGCUUGAGCUUAAGUAGGCUACAGUGCUUCUUGAGGGUAACACUAAGGCCUUAGCUCAAUAUUUGAUUUUCCAAUUUAUUAGUCUGUUGCAUUUCUUCCUAAACUGGAAGUGCUUGCUUCCAAUGCAUGGAACUUAAAUGAUUCUUUUCAGAAUUAUUUUUAAAGUAGUACCAGGGGACGUUUAGAUUGGAUAACAGGAAAGAUUUCCUCACAGAAAUGGUUGCCAAGCCUCGGAGCAGGCUGCUGUGGCUGAGUCACUAGCCUGGAGGUACUUAUAAGAUUUGUAGAUGUGGCAUUUAGGCGUGUGAUUUGGUGGUGGAAUUGGCAAUAUUAGGUUUAUAGUUGGACUGAAGGUCUUUUUUUUCCUAGCCUAAAUGAUUCUAUGAUACAAAGUGCAUGACCAUAAUGUUAAGACCAAUUAACUCUAAGUGUAAUUAGCUGCUUUUCCAGCAUGGCUUGCCACUUCAACGGUUUGUGUGAUUAUUGAAGAAUUGCUGCUAAGGACAAACUAAUCCUCAAGAAUGGGUGUCAUGCCACUGAGGCAGCUGGCUAUAAUCCCUUUAUAGUCACUGGUAGAAAAAAAAAACAGCUGAAAAAUGGGAUUUGCCUGAUCCUUACAGGCACACCCACUUUAGGAUGAAAUAAUCAAUUCCUUAGAAACACAUAUAUUGUUUCUUUGGCUGUUAAAGAAAUUAAAGUGACUGUCCAAAAUUGCUACCUAUUAUAUCUACAUUGUAGGUGCAAAACAGUUUGACACAAUUGUAGAAAUAGUGCUUGUCUGGAAUGCCUGUCUGAUUAAACUUCAUUAGGAAAAUAGUUAGUUAUUAAAAACAUGCAUAGAUAUAUCCUGUAUGAUUAGUCUGACCUCUUUUUUACCAUGUUGAUAGUCCUAGUAGAUUGUUUCUAUAUACAAAGCAAUUAAUGUGCAGCUAGUAAUUGCUACCUAUCAGCAUGCUUUAAGACUUAAGCACUAGCAUUUAGAAAUAAGUUGUACUUUUGCCUUUUCUGUUCCUCUGAAGUUUCCCAUGCUGGUCUAGUUUAUCAUAUGCACUUACAAUUCUAUAAUGAAAACUUGUUCAAAGGAUACAUCUUUGUGCUUCCUUUUGAUAGCAAUGUUAAAAUAGUUUUAAAGCAAAACUCAAUAAAUAGUCCAAUAUUAUUACUAGUUUCUACAUAAAAUUUACAAUUAAAGCACUUACUUGUU